ACUCCUACGGGAGGCAGCAGUGGGGAAUAUUGCACAAUGGGGGAAACCCUGAUGCAGCCAUGCCGCGUGUGUGAAGAAGGCCUUCGGGUUGUAAAGCACUUUCAGUAGGGAGGAAAGGUUGUAAGUUAAUACCUUGCAGCUGUGACGUUACCUACAGAAGAAGGACCGGCUAACUCC
rnacentral:rRNA from 1 species